rnacentral:rRNA from 1 species
GUAAGUCGCGCGUGAAAGGCGCAAGCCAAGUAAAGCGGCGAACGGGUCAGUAAUACGUAGCCAACCUACCCCCGAGAUUGGGAUAACCACUGGAAACGGUGGCUAAAACCAAAUGGUCCACCUGGAGGUAUCUCCGGACUGGUAAAUGGCGGCGAAAGCUGCCGCUCAGGGAUGGGGCUACGGGCUAUCAGCUAGUUGGCGGGGUAACGGCUCACCAAGGCUAUGACGGCUAGGCGGUCUGAGAGGAUGGUCGCCGACACUGGGACUGAGACACUGCCCAGACUCCUACGGGAGGCUGCAGUCGAGGAUCUUCCGCAAUGGGCGAAAGCCUGACGGAGCGACACCGCGUGCAGGAUGAAGGCCUUCGGGUUGUAAACUGCUGUCAAACUAUAGGAAACGCGAGGCGUUAAUAGCGCUUCGCCUGACUACGGUGAGAGGAAGCACCGGCUAACCCUGUGCCAGCAGCCGCGGUAAUACAGGGGGUGCAAACGUUGCUCGGAAUCACUGGGCAUAAAGCGCACGUAGGCCGCUAGCUAAGUCAGGUGUGAAAGCCCCCGGCUCAACCGAGGAACAGCAUCUGAUACUGGCUAGCUCGAGAAUGGUAGGGGUGAGUGGAACUCCAGGUGGAGCGGUGAAAUGCGUAGAUAUCUGGAUGAACACCGGUGGCGAAAGCGGCUCACUGGACCAUUUCUGACGCUGA